UACGAAGGGUGCAAGCGUUACUCGGAAUUACUGGGCGUAAAGCGUGCGUAGGCGGUUUGUUAAGUCCGCUGUGAAAGCCCUGGGCUCAACCUGGGAAUUGCACUUGAGACUGCAUAGCUAGGGUGCGGAAGAGGGAAGCGGAAUUUCCGGUGUAGCGGUGAAAUGCGUAGAUAUCGGAAGGAACACCAGUGGCGAAAGCGGCUUCCUGGUCCAGCACCGACGUUCAGGCACGAAAGCGUGGGGAGCAAACAGG
rnacentral:rRNA from 1 species